CACAUUGUCCUGGUGGAUAAGAGGUGGUUGGGGUCUGGUCCACCACAUUGUCCUGGUGGAUAAGAGGUGGUUGGGGUCUGGUCCACACAUUGUCCUGGUGGAUAAGAGGUGGUUGGGGUCUGGUCCACACAUUGUCCUGGUGGAUAAGAGGUGGUUGGGGUCUGGUCCACACAUUGUCCUGGUGGAUAAGAGGUGGUUGGGGUCUGGUCCACACAUUGUCCUGGUGGAUAAGAGGUGGUUGGGGUCUGGUCCACACAUUGUCCUAGUGGAUAAGAGGUGGUUGGGG